AUCACACAGGUGCUGCAUGGCUGUCGUCAGCUCGUGUCGUGAGAUGUUCGGUUAAGUCCGGCAACGAGCGCACCCCACAUCCCAGUUGCCAGCAGGUUAAGCUGGGCACUCUAUGGAAACUGCCCGUGAUAAGCGGGAGGAAGGUGUGGAUGACGUCAAGUCCUCAUGGCCCUUACGGGUUGGGCUACACACGUGCUACAAUGGUGGUGACAAUGGGUUAAUCCCAAAAAGCCAUCUCAGUUCGGAUUGGGGUCUGCAACUCGACCCCAUGAAGUCGGAAUCGCUAGUAAUCGCGUAACAGCAUGACGCGGUGAAUACGUUCCCGGGCCUU
rnacentral:rRNA from 1 species